GAUCUUGCCAUCUCUGAGAGUAUUCACGUGUAGAUUCAGUGGAUUAACAGUCUCUUCCAUGGGACGUCAGUAAAACAAACAGGACAUCUCAGCUGUAAGCCACAGCUUCAUCAACCCUAGGACACGGGCUGAGUUCUAAACCCAGACUUUUGCUUGCUGAUCCACACACACAGGAGCAACGCAGACCUCACACCACCUACAGAAAGCACUGUCUCAGAUCUGCUGUGACCGAAGCCUGUAUACCUGUGCAUCUCCACUUCUGAUCACUUGCCACAGUCAGAACAGUAUGUGCUCUGGAAUUCCACUCUCUUGGGCUCAAGAGUUAAACAAACAAGCACUGAGCAGAGGCUGACCCUCAACUUCUACUUGC
rnacentral:lncRNA from 1 species